UCUAUAUUUUUUUUUAUGAGUAAAAUAUUGGAUAAAUAGGAAUGAAUUUGAUCAACAUUUAUUCACAUCCAAUAAAAUGCCCCGUCGCCCGCUACCAACUUGGGAACUUGCCCACAUUCCCUAAUUUUGUAAACGACAAUCCGCGGGCUAUUUCAAACGUGAAUAAUGGCAAGAUCCCUAAAGAAAUUCGGAUUCUGGAAUAUGUUACGUCAAAGAAAAAAAUUCGUGGGCAAAACCUAGUUUUAUUGUAUUAUCCAGUUUUAUUCGAUUUGUUUAGUCCUAUUUGGUUUUAUUUUAUUUAGUUUGGUUUUUUUAAGAUAAAUUCAAUUUAAAAAAUUGAUAAUAAUUUUCAACUCAUUUUCGCAAUUUGGCAAAUCCAAAACCUGGCAUCCCCUUUGUCAUUGAUCAUUGCAGACUACAAUUUAGCGAACGACACAUGAAAGAUGGAAAAUGAAACGUCUUUUUCUUAAAAAUUAAAUGUUUGAGAGUGCGUGAAAAUACUAGAAAUCAUUGAUAAAACCUACAAGGAAGCCAAACAACAACGGACAUUCUACUAUUUUGACAGGAAAAGAAACUUCUCUUUAACGCUUACACUCCAAGUGGCGGCGUUGUUGAUGAAAAAGUACAUCGCGGGAAUCCCAAAAAGAAAUGCACAGACCAUGUGAAAUAUCGCGUGACACAAGAUCUUCUCGCCAUGCCACACUUUCAUGAAGAUGUAGAAAGUGAAAUACAAAAACAGAUUAGUGACGAGGAUUCCAAGCAUGUAGGAAGCGAAAUCUGGAGGACGGUACACCAAUCCAUACAUCGCCCAACCCAUAUUGAUGCGUCAGACAUUUGAUCAACACCGAUUAAGUCCGGAGAGGAACAUGAGAGUGAAUUAAGAAGUUCUGAUUCCACAUCCGUCGAGUCAAGAGUUGGACUAAUGGCAGCUUUGGAAUGUAAAGUAAAUUAUAGAAAUUAAAUUAUAAAAUUGAUUUUGAUUUAUUUUCUAAAUUACGAGCGGCUGUGGGACUAUGACUUGAAGCUGUGUUCUCUACUUCAACUAAACUCGGCUCCAGUAGUUCAGCGGGUACGGUACUAUAGAAAGAAAGGACAACAAAAGAGACGAAAAAGCAUUAGCAUAUUGACGUGCAAUUAUUAAGGAAAUUACUUACUUUCCACAAUUGAAACAAAAUGAUACGAAAACUCCAAUAUAGAAGAUAGCAAAUAUUCCUAAAACUCCGAAAACAGCGUAUCUGUAAUUAUCGUAACUAACCUAGAUUCGAUCAGUGGAUGAAACAGAAAUUCGUCGUGAAACAACAAUACGCAAUUAUUGCGAUGAAGCUGUGCGCUUGCCUGUGCAUUCAUAAUCGUCAGCCUUGACGACGAAAACAACGAAGAAUCCAUCGGGGAAUCGUUCUCGCUGAACAGAAUAUAAACACAGAGGCGGGAACGAGGUUCAUAAAUUGGCCGCGCUGCUUCCCCACAUCCGGUUCUCACAGUUUGGCACAUCUGCAUUCUGCAAAACUACAAAAACAACCUACUAACAAAACCUCAAAUACAAUAUGGCGUUUAAUUAAAGUAUGACUUAUUGGAAUGUUUGAUUGUAAUAACUAAUAAGCAUUUUACAAAAGAGUCCAUACUCCAUUCAUGUAAAGUUUACUUUUUUUCUCGAUUGCCCGUGUAGCACGUAUAAUUCAUUGGUGUCUCGUCUCCUAACACGUGAUUGAAACCUGUUGAAACAAUGACAGUCAAGACAAGGAAACGUUUAGAGCAUUCUAGAAUUUACAAAUUUACAUCGAUUUAAGAAAUGAGGCGUGGAUUGUUUUUCGCCACUGUAUUUCCAACCUCUCCAUGUCGAAAGAAGAGUAUUGUUUAUCUCAACUGCUGAUUUACUACCAUUCCUUCUUCUGGAUUUCUGUGUGAACCAAGAGAUUAUCAGGUGACAGUUGUUGAAUGUUUUCUUGUGUUUACUUAAAUAAAAAUGAUAAGAUUUCCCUUAUGAUUUAAUUUUAAUAUGGAAUUUCCUUCAUCAUCUGUUUUAUUUAUGUAACCAG